UACGUAGGGCGCAAGCGUUAUCCGGAAUUAUUGGGCGUAAAGAGCUCGUAGGCGGUUUGUCGCGUCUGCCGUGAAAGUCCGGGGCUCAACUCCGGAUCUGCGGUGGGUACGGGCAGACUAGGGUGAUGUAGGGGAGACUGGAAUUCCUGGUGUAGCGGUGGAAUGCGCAGAUAUCAGGAGGAACACCGAUGGCGAAGGCAGAUCUCUGGGCCGUAACUGACGCUGAGGAGCGAAAGCGUGGGGAGCGAACAGG
rnacentral:rRNA from 1 species